GCACAGCUGGUGUCUCCAGGAGCCAGGAGUGUCUGCUGUUGAGCCCACCUGGUGGCCCGUGUUCCCGUUAGCGCAGCCCCGGGAGCCUGGGACCACUGUCUUGUAAGGCCUGCAGUCGGAGCCCGGCCCGGAGAGCCUGCCCUACCCGGCCAGCCGCUGGAUGCGGACAACCUCAGAUGCACUCAUUCCUCCCGGAGGAUGCCACGCCAUCCACUAGCGGAGACAGAGGCUCCAGGCGCAAAGGUGCCAGAAAGGAUCACUUAAAAAUUAAUAAGGGAUCCCAAGGCCCGGCGCUGGCCAUCAUGCGGCCAGAAGCAAGCUCCGGCCACAUACACCGGGGAGACAACCACCCAAAUGUUUGGCCUCUGGGGGCCUGGCCUGCAGGAGAGCAGAAGCCACGAGCUGAGAAGUAAUUCAGUUCUUGAAGAAAUCUGUGUUCUGUGUCAGAGAGGAUGUGCGAGGCACUGGGAGGGCCUGGACGAGGCCUCCCCUCCUGGAAUCACACACUGUGUGUGUCGCCUCCGUGUCUGGCUUGUUGCGCUCCACCAAGGAAGUAGAGUCUGAAAGAGACCUUCCCUCGACUUACAGGGGAGGCCACAAAGGUCCAGGGAGAGAAAGCACUUAACAGAAGAGCGGCCCCAAAUGCGAGGCCAGCCUGGGCCCCCGACAACAGCCACCAACACGUCCUAGCAGGGUGGCUUCAAAGCCCUGGCACCGCAGCUCUAGAGAACGCGCCCGGGAUGUGUUGCCGCCUGCAAGGAGGCUGAAGUUCCACAAAACAACCGAGGUUACUCGGUGUGACACAAUCUGACCUUUUUAAGAUUCUAUGUAUUUAUUUGAGAGAGAGAGAGAGAGAGAGAGAGAGAGAGAACGCAGGGGGAGAUGCAGAGGGAGCAGCAGACGCCCCGCUGAGUAGGGAGCCCGACGUGGGACUUGAUCCCCGGACCCCAGGUCACGCCCUGAGCCGAAGGCAGGCACUCAACCUCCGAGCCCCCCAGGCGCCCGUACCUUAACGUCACAUAACCCUAUGAGGCAGCUGCAGUCAGUAUUCCCAUUUCACAGUGAAGAAGUGAGUACACAGUAUCGCGUACAGGCGACGGAAAAUGUCACGGAUGUUCCCAGUUCGUUCCAGUAGCACCAAGGGAAAGCGCCUGGCAUUCCUGCAGACCUCUAAUUAAGCUGGGGCAGAGGCACCUGGCAAGUGUCCCUGGCACCCCUGGUCCCCGAGCCCUCCCCACCCCCAACUCUGGAAAAAGCUGCCUCCAGAGCAAACACAGCGUGGCUGCCCCCAGGAGGGGGGGGAUUGCUGUUUCCUUCACGGGACUGGCCCCCGGGAGAUGACAAUCGGGGCAGUUGGACACCCCAUCCUUGCCCUACAUCCCGUCAGCUCCCCAUUCCUCUGGCCCCACACCCUCCACUGCAGGUUUUAACCCUUUGUUUCCCUACUAAUCUCUUUUUCCACACGUGACUGUGUGUCCCUCCAGGGACAUACGCAUUGCUCGGUGGACCUUCUGUGCCCAGGACAGAGUCCGAGGCUGACCCGCUCUGAAGGGCCCGGGCGUCCGUGUGUAGCCCGCCCGCUAUCCGUAGGCCCUGGGGGAUCGUCCUUCCCAUUGGCAGCAGCACGGCCGUCAUCAAAACGUGGAAGCUGUUUCUGAAGGCAGUUCUAGAGCGCAGCAAGGACAAAGGCAAAGUCAAGGCUUUCACGGACAUCUCCGAGCCCCAGUGACACUCUUGGCACCAAGUCCUGAACACGUCCCAACUCCCCAUUUGUCGCCAGAUGCUCCACAGGCCAAACUCCCGCAGGGUAUUUCACCUUGGAAGCAGCCAACAUCUACUUAAACAAGAAAAAAAAUCAUCACAAAGAUAUAGGAUGGCUCGAAAGAAAUGAGCCACCAAGCCCUGAGAAGACAAGGAGGGACCUUAACUGCUACCACUGAGUGAAAGGAACCAAUCUGAAGAGGACACGGAGCACAGGAUUCCAACCGUGUGACCUCUGGAGAAGGCAAAACCGGAGACAGUGAGAAGACCGGUGGUUGGCGGGAGAGAUGAAUGAGUGGAGCAAGAUCUGGGGGGACGUGAGGCUCUUCUGCACGAUAUCCUAAUGGUCGCACCUGUCAGUGUACACUUGCCCGAGUCUAUUGGGUGUUCGUUGCCAAGGGUGAGCUCUGGGCGGUGAGGAUGCGUCCGAGUCAGUUCUGCGUUUCUAACAAAAGGCUUCCAGCUCGCCAGCGGAGUCCCCUGGUGACCACCUGGUGGGGGAUGCUCCUAACGGGGGAGGCCGGACCUGUG